rnacentral:misc_RNA from 1 species
GAAAAAUACACAAGUAACCUGAAAUACUGACUUACUGAUAAUAAUAAGGAUAAAUUGGUAGUAAAUUCAAUCUUUAAAAAGAUGAAAUUGUAGAAGAAAAAGGAGUAGCAGAAACUGGUCUUGGGAAAAGGAAUGUUUAAAAAGAAAAGAGGGGAACAGAAAGUAAGGGGAAAAGCUAUUGUAAAGCCAGUUAACGAGUGCAGACCUCCUGUUAAAAGGGGUCUUGUGGAGAAUUGCACUCUAGGAGUUGUAGACACAAAUAUAUGGUGUUUCUU